GCUGCAUUGUUCUGGAGUGAGAAGUUCAAGAGUAUAGCCAAUAGGGGGAGCUCAAGCUCAUCAACAGGAAGUUCCACCCUCACGGUCACUUCAGUGUACAGAUGGCCAAGUAAAAGACAAUCUCAGCCCAUCCUUGUUGUUGCUACAGAAAGCAUUGUUUUUUCUGAUACAGUUUGACAGCAGCCAUGCCUCAGACAAAGAAAACUAAAGAGAACAGAAGCCUAUGACUGAUCCAGGUGCUGAUAGAGGGAUUACGUGGAAAAAUCAACAAAAGGUAAAGCAUGAUUAACAGAGGCAAAAGUAAUUAAGUUGAUAAGAUGGUGAAAGCUAUUUUUUUAAUAAACAGUUAACAAAAAGCUAUGAAAUUGUCAUACUAAAAGAUAGAAAUGUAUUUUUUCAUUAGAAACUGGACAGGCUUUUUUUCCUUCCUUGUUUCAGUCAAAUAUAUGAUAGUCAUCACCAAAAAAAAAAUAGUUAAACUAUAAUAGAAAUUUUAAAAAAAAGUGGUCUUUUUUGUUGUUAUGAGUUUCAAACCUAUUCAUGUAAUCAAGGCAACAUUCAUCUUGAUUACUCUUGUCGUUCGUUUCCUUUUUUUUUCCACACCACAAAGAAAACAUCGUCAGUGAACCAUCAGCGGCUCGUCUCACAUGACUUCUGAAGCCGCUUGUUGUUUCCCGCCGCUUGCGUGAACGUGUCACAGGCCCAAGAUCAACCCUGGCGUGUCGCUAACAAUUGAGCUGAUUUGUGUCGGCUUUCGAUCUUUCAUUGUUGGGGAACAAGAGGCGUUGCGUUACCCCACUCUGACUUUUUAUUUACCCAGUUAACUAAAUAUGAUUUUGAGCAAUUUUUUUUAUUUAUUUUUUUAUUUCAAUAUGUAAAAAUAAAUCAGCUGGGAGACUAUUACUGAUACUUUGGCAAUGGAUCCAAGGGGUCACAUUAAUUCCGGUAAUAAUUUGGUGAGUGUGACGACAGAUUCAUUUCCAGUAAAUGAAUGUGAACAUGUCAGUAUGGGCGUAGAGGGAGGUGCGGUCGGUUGCGGAAGCAUCUGGAGCCUUCUUUCCUUCAACUUGCUUCGAGGUCAACUUCAGAUUAACUGAGGUGAUGCAUCCGUGCUGCCACGAUGCAUUACCUCUCACAUUGUUCCCCAGGUCGACACACAAAGGCAGGCAUUGCUUUCAAUUACACCUUUAACUUUUCUUUUUAAUUAAAUGUACAGACAGAUUAAUUACAGGACAGCCUAAAUGAUGGGGAAAAAAAAUUAGAGGUGUCCAGAAACAUUGGGUUUGGUGGGAAUGCAUCGGCCUCCUCUCUGGCCUCUGUAACCCCUUAAGCUGUCACGCCUGUUAUUCAAUAAGCUAUCUGGCAGGGGAAGAGUACAAACGAGUGUAGGCGUGCAGGGCAGUUUGUUUCUGUUUGCCAGACAGGCUCGAUUCUUUGAGAGACACAGCCCACAAAGCCAGACACCCAAGGCUGCAGGCUGGGUAAAAGGAAAAAAAAAAA